AAUCACUUGUCCUUUAAAUGAAGACCUGUAUGAAUGGCGCGACGAAAGCUUAACUGUCUCCCCUCCCCUGUCAAUGAAAUUGAUCUCCCCGUGCAGAAGCGGGGAUAAACACAUAAGACGAGAAGACCCUGUGGAGCUUCAAACACCAAGCCCAGCUCGCAUAAAUACCCAAACAUAAAUUAAGUGUAUAAAAUAUAUGACCCCUGAGCUAAUGUUUUCGGUUGGGGCGACCAUGGGGAAAUAAAAAACCCCCAAGAGGAUAGAAGCAUUACCCAAUAUAACACAACUUCCACAAAAAAGGCUGACAAGCCUAAUUUACAGAACCUCUGACCUAUACAGAUCCGGCACAAGCCGAUCAACGAAUCAAGUUACCCCAGGGAUAACAGCGCAAUCCUCUUCAAGAGCCCAUAUCGACAAGGGGGUUUACGACCUCGAUGUUGGAUCAGGACAUCCUAAUAGUGCAGCCGCUAUUAAGGGUUCGUUUGUUCAACGAUUAA
rnacentral:rRNA from 1 species